rnacentral:rRNA from 1 species
UACGUAGGAGACGAGCGUUGUCCGGAGUUACUGGGCGUAAAGGGUGCGUAGGCGGGUCUUUAAGUCAGGGGUGAAAUCCUGGAGCUCAACUCCAGAACUGCCUUUGAUACUGAGGAUCUUGAGUUCGGGAGAGGUGAGUGGAACUGCGAGUGUAGAGGUGAAAUUCGUAGAUAUUCGCAAGAACACCAGUGGCGAAGGCGGCUCACUGGCCCGAUACUGACGCUGAGGCACGAAAGCGUGGGGAGCAAACAGG